GCCUCUUACAACACUGAGAUAUCCUCAUUUCCAGAAAACUGAAAUUGAGAAGUUAGUGUCUGAAAUGCUUGACAGUGGAGUAAUUCAGCAUAGCACUAGUCCUUAUGCCUCCCCUGUUUUAUUAGUUAAGAAGAAGGACGGUUCUUGGAGAUUUUGUGUGGAUUAUAGAAAGUUAAAUGAUGCUACUGUUAAGAAUAAAUUUCCGAUUCCUAUUAUUGAGGAUUUAUUAGAUGAAUUGCAUGGUGCAACAAUCUUUUCUAAGAUAGACCUUAGAGCUGGAUACCAUCAGAUUCGAAUGGACACUCCAGAUGUUCCAAAGAUUGCAUUUAAAACAAAUAAUGGACACUUUGAGUUUAUAGUCAUGCCUUUUAGCCUUACAAAUGCACCAGAAACAUUUCAAGCCCUUAUGAAUGAUAUAUUCCAGCCAUUCCUUAGGAAAAGUGUGUUAGUUUUCUUCGAUGAUAUUCUCAUUUACAGUCCUGAUUUGGAGUCUCAUAUUUCCCAUUUGGAAGAUGUUUUUAAGGUUUUAGCAGAACAACAGCUUUAUGCUAAACUUUCUAAGUGUUCUUUUGCUCAAAGUCAAGUGGAGUACUUGGGGCAUACAAUAUCUGCAAAAGGGGUAGCUACAGAUCCUGACAAGAUAAGGGCUAUGGUUGAGUAGCCUGCGCCUAAGUCAGUCAAAGAAUUGAGGAGCUUUUUGGGGCUGACUGGAUAUUACAGAAAAUUCAUUAGGAAUUAUGCCCUUAUUAGUAAACCCUUGACUGAUUUACUAAAAAAAGAUGCAUUCCAGUGGUCUUCAAUAGCACAACAUGCCUUUGAGAGGUUGAGGAAUGCUAUGUCUUCUACCCCUGUGUUGGCUAUGCCAGAUUUUACUCAACCAUUCAUUGUUGAAACUGAUGCUAGUAGUCAAGGUAUGGGAGCUGUAUUGCAGCAACAAGGGCACCCUAUUGCCUUUAUUUCUAAGGCAUUUG
rnacentral:misc_RNA from 1 species